rnacentral:rRNA from 1 species
UACGUAGGUGGCAAGCGUUGUCCGGAAUUAUUGGGCGUAAAGCGCGCGCAGGUGGUUCUUUAAGUCUGAUGUGAAAGCCCACGGCUCAACCGUGGAGGGUCAUUGGAAACUGGGGAACUUGAGUGCAGAAGAGGAAAGUGGAAUUCCAAGUGUAGCGGUGAAAUGCGUAGAGAUUUGGAGGAACACCAGUGGCGAAGGCGACUUUCUGGUCUGUAACUGACGCUGAGGCGCGAAAGCGUGGGGAGCAAACAGG